UUUUAGCGAUUGGAUUUCACUCAAAACAAACAAAAUGGCUCCUCCCACCAUAUUUUUGUGUUGCCCAAGUUUUGGGCUCCAUCCGAUUUCUCUAGGUCAAUGAAAUUCGACACUUCAAGUUCUUAUGAUGUUAGUUCAUAAAUGGAGUGGUUGGUGUAGUGCGUAGUUUUAGCAAUUGGAUUUCACUCAAAACUCACUAAAUGACUCCUCCCACCAUAUUAUGAUGUUGCCCAAGUUUUGGGCUCCAUCCGAAUUCUCUAGGUCAAUGAAAUUCGACACUUCAAGUUCUUA
rnacentral:lncRNA from 1 species